rnacentral:lncRNA from 1 species
AAUUCACUGUGCUUAAACGGCUGUGGGUAACUUAAGUUACCCACAGCCCAAGAUGGCGGACUCUAAACUCGUUGAUUAUUUAAUUCAUACAAAAUGUACCUUUUGCGACGUUUUUCUUGCAGAAUGUAAAUAUUUAUAGGUUAAUUGAAUAAAGAAAUAACUAAAAAUUACCAUAAAUUUGUUAAAAUAGAGUUCACUUAAGCGCAAGGCCAACUUUUAAAAAAUGCAUAAGACGUCCGUAACUUUUUGAUCGAAACUAAGCAGACUGUCCGUAACUUUAUUUUCAGAUGUGGGUAACUUUUGAUUAAAAUUUU